GUCACCCUAGUGCUUUGCUCCAGCCCAUCUUGCACACAGCGUGGCACCAAAUUGAUGGCUGCUCCUUGCCCUGCGACUCCCAGCUUCCCUCAGCUCUCACACGCUUAGCUCCAGGUUAUCGGAGUCCAAGAAUGAAGCAAAAAUUCUUUGAUCCCAAUGAUGGCGCAGUGCAUGUGACGUGCAUCAGCAGCUGGAAGGCAGAGGGACCAGGACAGGUUUCAUCUGGAAAGGGGCUGCGCAUUGGGGUGGGUGUCACGGGGAAGAUCUACAAUGAGGUAACAGCUGUUUGCAUAAUGGAGACCGGUUGGGCACAAGUCAUGAAAGACAAAGUCAAGGCAAGGGCCCGCAGGAUCCAGGAGGCCUUCGCACCCAUGAAGACAUCACUGCUGAGUCAGGCCCAGGGCUGCGUGCACACCCAAGAAAUACACAUGUGCUGA
rnacentral:lncRNA from 1 species